rnacentral:rRNA from 1 species
GUGGAUUAGAUACCCUGGUAGUCCACGCCGUAAACGAUGGGUGCUAGGUGUGGGCGGUGUCGACUCCGUCCGUGCCGAAGCUAACGCAUUAAGCACCCCGCCUGGGGAGUACGGCCGCAAGGCUAAAACUCAAAGGAAUUGACGGGGGCCCGCACAAGCAGCGGAGCAUGUGGUUUAAUUCGACGCAACGCGAAGAACCUUACCUAGGCUUGACAUGCACAGGAAUGUCGUGGAAACACGGCAGCCCUUCGGGGCCUGUGUGCAGGUGGUGCACGGCCGUCGCCAGCU